rnacentral:rRNA from 1 species
UGAUCCCUACGGGAGGCAGCAGUAGGGAAUUUUCGUCAAUGGGCGCAAGCCUGAACGAGCAAUGCCGCGUGAACGAGGAAGGUUUUCGGAUCGUAAAGUUCUGUUGAAGGGGAAAAAGAGCGGAGAGAGGAAAUGAACUCCGAUUGAUAUUACCCUUCGAGGAAGCACCGGCUAACUCCGUGCCAGCAGCCGCGGUAAUACGGAGGGUGCGAGCGUUAAUCGGAAUCACUGGGCGUAAAGCGCGCGUAGCCGGCUUUUCAAGUCAGG